rnacentral:sRNA from 1 species
ACGGAAAGCGCGCAGGAAGCGCCAAGAACAAAAAAGGAAUUUCCGGACCCCCAGGAUGGCGGGUCGAACAUGGAUGUAAGGAUUCAAUCUGCAAGCCCCGCGAUGCGGGGUUUU